UGAUCCCUGGAAAGAGGCGAUCGCUAUAAAUUGAACAAGAGAAACUAUCCUAAUGACAAUGUGGAAACGGGGUCCCACCGAGUUUCGACUCUGCUAUGGCUCGUAUGUCCUCAAGAUGCUCUACUCAUCUUGCUUUCUGAAGUGGAUGAUUAGUCGAUCUUUUACCUUCGAAGAUUGCCGGAUUGAAUGAAACGGUGAUAUAACACGGAUGAACUCAGAUUGCAGUUAUUCGCUUAUUCCCUAACUUUU
rnacentral:lncRNA from 1 species